UACGUAGGUGGCAAGCGUUGUCCGGAAUUAUUGGGCGUAAAGAGCGUGUAGGCGGCCCGAUUAGUCCGCUGUGAAAGUCCAGGGCUCAACCCUGGAAUGCCGGUGGAUACUGUCGGGCUAGAGUCCGGAAGGGGCGAGUGGAAUUCCUGGUGUAGCGGUGAAAUGCGCAGAUAUCAGGAGGAACACCAAUGGCGAAGGCAGCUCGCUGGGACGUGACUGACGCUGAGACGCGAAAGCGUGGGGAGCGAACAGG
rnacentral:rRNA from 1 species